CCUACGGGGGGCUGCAGUGAGGAAUCUUGGUCAAUGGGCGCAAGGCCUGAACCAGCCAAUUAGCGUGAAGGAAGACUGCCCUUAGGGUUGUAAACUUCUUUUAUAAGGGAAUAACUGUGGCAACGUGUUGCCAUUUGCAUGUACCUUAUGAAUAAGGAUCGGCUAACUCCGUGCCAGCAGCCGCGGUAAUACGGAGGAUCCGAGCGUUAUCCGGAUUUAUUGGGUUUAAAGGGUGCGCAGGCGGGAAAGGAAGUCAGCUGUGAAAUUUUAUGGCUCAACCAUAAACUUGCAGUUGAAACUCUUUUUCUUGAGUACACAUGAGGUGGGCGGAAUUUGUGGUGUAGCGGUGAAAUGCAUAGAUAUCACAAGGAACUCCGAUUGCGAAGGCAGCUCACUGGGGUGUAACUGACGCUCAUGCACGAAGGUGUGGGUAUCAAACAGGAUUAGAUACCCCUGUAGUC
rnacentral:rRNA from 1 species